CCCUUAGAUGUUCUGGGUCGCACGCGCGCUACACUGAUGCAUUCAACGAGUCUAAAACCUGGUCUGAUAGGGCUGGGUAAUCUUUUGAAUGUGCAUCGUGAUUGGGAUAGAUGAUUGCAAUUCUUCAUCUUCAACGAGGAAUGCCUAGUAAACGCAAGUCAUCAGCUUGCAUUGAUUACGUCCCUGCCCUUUGUACACACCGCCCGUCGCUCCUACCGAUUGAAUGUUCCGAUGAAUACCAUGGACUGAGAGUAUGAAUGGGUUCGCCUAUUUCUGCUUCUCGGGAAGUGGAGUAAAUCUUAACAUUUAGAGGAAGGAGAAGUCGUAACA
rnacentral:rRNA from 1 species